CAGUGAAAAUACGACGCGGCACUGGUCCCAGGCCCAUGUCUUUGCGCACAGAGGGACUAGGAGGCAUACCUUUUGUACAGCUCCCGAAGCCCAGCCCACCAAACUGCUCGUUACUCUAGCGCGACCACCCCUCCGUGGAGUGCCAUUACCGCCCGCGCCGUCUCGCCGCGACCUACGGCUACCACUCAAGGAUAACCUAGGUCAACUGGCCAAGGGUGAGUCCCUUCUCAACCGGCUGUCGAACCUCGUCGGUUUAGGCCUGUGAGAUCCCAAGGAGGCUGGUAGGUACCGGUAACCCGACGUAGCGGCGGCUACGGCAACGGUGGCGGGGCAGCGGCAGCUGGGGCUGUGGUGGCGACGAGAGAUGUAGAGUCAGAGCGGCCCCGGGGAGAGACGGAACCAGGGGAGAUGACCUGUCGACGAGCCGCCACAGCAGAAAGAGGACAUGACCAACCGCCGUAGAGCAAGAGGCCGUGGUUGUUCAGGUACCGGGGUACCAAGACGUGCUUUAGAGAUCAGGCCGUCGGAGGUAGUCUGUGGUGCCCGAAGAAAUGAAGUUCCGUACACGAUGUGAAGUCGACUGACUAAACCUCCAUAACACCAUACACUUGACCUGUAGUCUUCAACGCUUCGGGGUAGCUACGACGAAACCUCGUAGAGGUGGUGAGGACGUUACGGCCACUAAACGUUGUACCACCUACAACAUCACUGUCUACGUCGUCUCUACAGUACCACGGGGAGGUGAAAAGUCGUACAGCAUACAACGCGUCCAACACACCACCACCACCAGCCGCGGCCGGGAGGUCCGACGUCGUGAGUGGCGUCCUUACCGAACGUCGCCAGCAACGGUACCGUGACGAAACGUCUUAGUCACCCCCAGCUCGUCCGACCGUCUUAGCGCCACCCGCUACAGAGACAUUCUCCUACUCUACCUCUCACUUGACCGGGUGACCCGUGCACGGUUAACGUGCUCCGUGAACAAAGAUGUAAUUUUUAAUAUUACGCUAAAUACAUUCACGAUAUACACUUGACCAUUCUCGUUACCAACUUAACAACCAGUCACCUUCUCAUUAACCACUUGGC
rnacentral:rRNA from 1 species